AUAAAUUAAGUACCAGUUACACACUGGGGUUAAUGUAAUCGACUUAAUCCCCUUGUCUGUCCUUGUUUGUCCCCUUUAUGUUUAGCCCCUUGUGGGCAAUAAAGAAAUAGGGAUUGUUUAUCAAGUUAUGAUUUUUGUCUCCCCAAUUUGAUAAGAUGUUAAAGGCAGUCUUACUGAAUCUAGGGUUUGUGGUUGCAAAAUGCUUAUGGGGUUGCUUCCUAAUAUAUUGAGGGUAUUUACUUUUUGUCUUAAAUUCAUUGUGCGGUUAAGUAGCUCGUUUGCAAUCACAUGGCUUUGAGUUCAGUUCUACUGCGUGGCACCUUGGACAAGUGUUUCCUGCUUUUAGCCCUGGGCUGACCAAUGCCCUGGGAGUGAAUUUGGUUGUGAAAACCCAUUCUACAUACUGUUCAUACAUACAUGCAUAUAUAUUCAUAUAUGUCUCUUUGUUGUUGUGUUUAUUCUCCCACCCUCUGACAACUGGUGCUGGUUCAUUUACAUCAUGCUGAUGGUCAUGGCUGGAAUGUCUUUAAACUUAGAACUGUCCUGUUAGGGUUGACCUGGCUUUAAACAACAAAUCUAGUCAGUUCAUCUAAAUAAAUGCUCGACCUACUAGAAAUAGCAGCUAAAUUUUCAUCAUAUCACACCUAAUUAUAUUUUUGAAAAAUGUACAUAUGAGAUAAUGUUGCUGUUGGUUUACUUCAUGUCCAGAAAAAGUCAUGAUGGUCAUGGCUGGAAUGCCUUUGAUCAUAGAACUGUAGAAUCAGAACUGACAUAGGUCUAAACAUGAGGAACUGUUAUCAUGUAAGAAUUAAAACAUCACCACAACGACAAUAGCAACAUGAAGUAAGUCACCAUUUUCAUUUGAAGUCCUCAAAUCUUUCUGACUUAAUGAUGACACUGGAGAUAAAAUAAAUUUAAAAAAAUAAAAAUAAAAUUACAAUUGCAUGGAAAAUUUAAAAGAAAAAUAACAAAAGAAAACAAAAACAGUUGUUUUAAUUUUUUGACACUCAACCCUAUCAUAUCCGGUCCAAAUAUGUUAUUUAUUUUGUAUUCAAGCCUGCUUAUAUCCGGCUUCUCACACCUACUCUACAAUGUCAUUCUAAAAAUAAACAGUCACAUCAUUGAAAUCUUGAAGCUACAAGAUAAUACAUGAUUAAUUCAAAAUUGAAUAAAUAAGGCUUAAUUUUGACAGAGUAAAUCUGAAAAUGAAAGAGUUAUAAUUAAAUUUUUUGAAAAAAAAAAAAAAUGUUUAUGACACAUUGUCUUGGGUCCAAUCUCUUUUCAUGCAUGCACACCUGUGAAAUACCUUGAUUAUUUUAAGGAGAAUAUUAAGGACAGCAUGGACAGAGAAAAUAUGGUAAAUAAGAAAUUGGUUGAAGGGAGAAGAAGCAGAUGAUGGAGAAGGGAGAUACGGAUAUCAAGCUUAAUGAAUUGGUUGGAAGAAAGAAGCAUUAAACGUCAGGAAGUGGAACCAUUUCUGAAAACAAAGAAUAGAGAAUUACGGCAGGAAAAGAUUUUGCCCUCUGUCCUACAUUCUGGACAUGGCCCCUAAAGAAGAAGAAGAAGAAGAUUUGUAAAUAACAAAACAAGUAGCAAAAUAGAGGAUUUGACAAUGAAAACAAGAAUUUCUGCUGCAGAAUAAGAAAACUGACCAAAUUUUAAUGGUUGUUUUGAAGACCAAAGAAAAGGAAUAACCAGCAAGACGUAUACCAUAGUAAAGGCAUCGACACUAAAAAGAACAAUAACAACAGUUACAGCAACAACAACAUAAACCUCUGAAGAAGAAAAACCUCAAUAAAAUUGCUGAAUGUUGUGAAGAACUUUCUUGGAAAAUGACAACAGACAUGAAUAAGGAAUGCUUGCAGAGUUGACUCUUUCAUAUGUUACAUUAAAUACUCCUCUGUAACUCUUCAGAUUGUCUGUUAAUCUUAUAAGAACUCUUUAAAAAAUGCCUGAAUUAUGCCAACAUCAAGUAAAUUUAUGGCAACCUUUUGAAUAUGGAUGAAACUCUUCGUAUUUUCCAGUGAAUUGUGUCACUGAAAAUGUUUCCUUAUC
rnacentral:lncRNA from 1 species